rnacentral:rRNA from 1 species
UACGUAGGGGGCAAGCGUUGUCCGGAUUUAUUGGGCGUAAAGAGCGUGUAGGCGGCCAGGUAGGUCAGCUGUGAAAACUCGAGGCUCAACCUCGAGACGUCGGUUGAAACCACCUGGCUAGAGUCCGGAAGAGGAGAGUGGAAUUCCUGGUGUAGCGGUGAAAUGCGCAGAUAUCAGGAGGAACACCCGUGGCGAAGGCGGCUCUCUGGGACGGUACUGACGCUGAGACGCGAAAGCGUGGGGAGCGAACAGG